GACGAACGCUGGCGGCAUGCCUAACACAUGCAAGUCGAACGGAACUUGUUGAAUGAAGUUUUCGGAUGGAUUUUAGCAAGUUUAGUGGCGGACGGGUGAGUAACGCGUGAGCAACCUGCCUUUCAGAGGGGGACAACAGUUGGAAACGACUGCUAAUACCGCAUAAUGUUAUUUGAGGGCAUCCUUAAAUAACCAAAGCUUUAUGUGCUGAAAGAUGGUCUCGCGUCUGAUUAGCUAGAUGGCGGGGUAACGGCCCACCAUGGCGACGAUCAGUAGCCGGUCUGAGAGGAUGAACGGCCACAUUGGGACUGAGAUACGGCCCAGACUCCUACGGGAGGCAGCAGUGGGGAAUAUUGGGCAAUGGGGGGAAACCCUGACCCAGCAACGCCGCGUGAAGGAAGAAGGCCUUCGGGUUGUAAACUUC
rnacentral:rRNA from 1 species